CAGAAAUGUUCUAUUUAUAAGACUAAAUUAGGUAUGUAAUUUUAUCGUUUUAUCUCUGUAUUAUACACAAACAUCCACACAAACACACAUACUUUAACUGUGUAGUAGGCUUUUUUUUAUACUUUUUUUAUUUUAUUUUGAUCAACUUUCGUUUCAGUUGUUUUGUGAGAUAUGUUAGAACACGUUGAAUGCCUUACUAAUUAUGCCUAUUUCAACUGUUUUUAUUGUGUGCUUCUAUUUUUGUGGAGUUUUGUCUUUAUUGUUUCCGCGUAAUGCGUUGUUUGAGAAUAGAAAUAUUGGGCGUCCCUUAAAUACCGUCCGUCCGUCCACACGUCUGUCCGUCCGGUCUUGUUUAAUAGCGCGCUCUUACUAAUAUCUACAAUUCUUGCCAAAUUUUUAUAAAACUUAUAACGCAGGUUUACAUCAACAAUGUAUUCGACUAUAUAGUUCGAUAUAUAAGCAGUUCUGAUCAUGUACAUGAUGUAUUUAUAAAAGAGAUAGAAUGUGUAUAAGCCAUUUAGAAGAAUCAUUAAUUGGAAAAUCGCAUUGUCAGCGGAAUCAUUUUGUACAAUUUGUGACAGACUCUUUAUAAAACUUAUACAGUAGGUUAUAUUAUUAAUAUCUAAUACGAGUGCGAAAAGCAAUGCCAAUCGAUAAUUUUUAAUAGACGUGUUACGAAAUUGUAUCUACUCGACGCUGAGGUAGACAAAUUAGACUUUAAAUGCCGGUAUCGGAUCAAAGCACACAAGUUAUUUAAAUAUUUUAAUUACCUGUGUACCAAUUGAAUCAUGGUGUUAAACUGCAUAGUAAUGAUAAAAAGUAAAAUCACAAAAAUACUGAAAUCAGAGGAAAAUCUAAUCGGAAAGUCCAUUAUCACAUGGCAAAAUCAAAAGACAAAACAGAUAAAAACGAAAUGGACAAGAACUGUCAUGUCCGCUUAUAUUUACUUCAAUAACACACGUCUUUUUUCAAACUUUAUCAUUGCUAAUUUCCUGUUGAAUAUUCCUUAAGGAACGAAUAUGAUAUAAUAAUUAUUCCGUGAAGAAUAAAUGAUAUACCCCGUUUAACUUUGGAAAUACAUUUCCUUGGAUUGUUUCUUUUGUUGACUAUAUAUACUAAUCUGUUUGAUACCUACUAAGAAAAAGAUUGAUUUCCUUUAUAUUAUUUUCAUGUAAAAUGUGACCGGUUUGACCCAACAACAUCUUAUAUAUAUUCCUGCAAAGUUUCAAAAUAUUCCGUUUUGUAAUUUUCUGAAGUACGAGUUAUGCCCCUUGGAAAAAAAAUUGUAACGGAAAUUGCCUUACAUUUGCUUUGAAGCGUUCAUUUCUUUAAGAUUAUUAUACAAAGUUUUUAUUAGGACAAUAACCGAAAAAAAGUUUUUUUUUGUAAUUAUCCUUGUUCCUCAACAGAUUAAAAAAAAAAGGUGGAACGCGGUAGACUUUGGUCAUUUUCUUUGUCUUUCUUUUUAAAAAUUUAAUGUUGUAUUUAUACCAUUCAUACUCUUUAAAUAAAGUUUAACAACAUUUUAUGUGUUUAAGAAUUACAAGAACUAUAUGUGAAAAACUUCUAAAUUUUAUAGUCGAAGUGUGUCGAGUAGUUUUUGGGGAGUACAGUUUCAAGUUAAACAUAAAAUUGAGAAUGGAAAUGGGGAAUGUGUCAAAGAGACAACAACCCGACCAAAUAAAAAACAACAGCAGAGGGUCACCAACAGGCCUUUAAUGUAGCGAGAAAUUCCCGCACCCGGAGGCGUCCUUCAGCUGGCCCCUAAACAAAUAUAUACUAGUCCAGUGAUUAUGAACGCCAUACUAAUUUCCAAAUUGUACACAAGAAACUAAAAUUAAAAUAAUACAAGACUAACAAAGGCCAGAGACUCCUGACUUGGGACAGGCGCAAAAAUGCGGCGGGGUUCAACAUUUUUGUGAGAUCUCAACCCUCCCCCUAUACCUCUAACCAAUGUAGAAAAGUAAACGCAUAACAAUACGCACAUUAAAAUUCAGUUCAAGAGAAGUCCGAGUCUGAAGUCAGAAAAUGUAACCAAAGAAAAUAGACAAAAUGACAAUAAUACAUAAAUAACAACAGACUACUAGCAGUUAACUGACAUGCCAGCUCUAGACUUCAAUUAAACUGACUGAAAGAUUAUGAUUUCAUCAUAUGAACAUCAGACACAAUCCUUCCCGUUAGGGUUUAGUAUCAUACCAUCAUAAACAUAUAUGAGAAGAACAUAACCCGUGUCAUGCCAACAACUGUUUUUAGAAUAAAUGUGUUUAGUUCCGAUGCAAAGACCUUAUCAGUGACUCAAUACUAACGCCAAAAUAUGCAAUCUUUAAUGACUUGACAACAGUAUCGUAAUUAUAUCCCUUCUUAAUAAGUCUAUUCAAAGGUUUUGUAAGUUUCUGAGGUGAAUACUGACACCUUUGUGCUUUAUAAAGAAUAUUUCCAUAAAAAUUGGAUGUGAAAUACCUGAACGUAUUAGAAGUCGGCAUGUUGAGCUAUAUUUACGAAUGAUGUCUUUAUACCGAUGAUUAGAUUUAGUAAAUGUUUUGACUUCUAGUUUGUGAUAUCGAAAACCCUGGUGUAAUAAUUUUUCAGUAAUACAUAAAUUUCUCUCGUUAAAAUCUAAAACAUUGUUACAUACACGAGCGAAUCGUACAAGUUGAGAUAUAUAAACACCGUAAGAUGGUGACAAGGGAACGUCACCAUCUAAAAACGGAUAAUUAACGAUAGGAAAUGAAAAAUCACCCCUUUUAUCAUAAGUUUUAGUAUUCAGCUUUCCAUUAGUAAUAUAGAUAUCAAGAUCGAGAAAAGGGCAGUGGUCAUUGUUAGUAUUAGCUUUAUUUAAAGUAAGUUCAACAGGAUAAAUUUCAUUAAUAUACAUACUGAAGUCGUCAUUAUUGAGAGCCAAAAUAUAUUCCAAAUAUCUAAAAGUAUUAUUAAAUUUGUUUAUCAGAUGUUGUUCCGAUGGGUUUUUGCUUCUUUUUGUCAUAAAUUGUAACUCAUAACAAUACAAAAACAGGUCCGCAAUAAGUGGUGCACAGUUAGUCCCCAUAUCUGUUUCUAACCUCAUGUGGAUCGUAAACUUAGUAAAAGAGGGACGACAGAUACCAAAGGUACAGUCAAACUCAUAAAUCUAAAACAAACUGACAACGCCAUGGCUAAAAAUGAAAAGGACAAACAAACAACAGCACACAUGACACAACAUAGAAAACUAAAGAAUAAACAACACGAACCCCACCAAAAAACUAGGGGUGAUCUCAGGUGCUCCGGAAGGGAGAGCAGAUCCUGUUCCACAUAUGGCACCCGUCGUGUUGUUUAUGUGAUAACAAAUCCGGAAAAUAGUCUAAUUCGGUAGGUCCCAUUCGUGAAAGGGAAGGGGAUUGUAGUUACGCCGUAAGGAACAUAUCCGAUAUCAUUUGUAUUAUUCCAUGAUGAUGGCGUCUGUAAAGUUUACGAAGGGAUGAUUUCAACUUCACCAUUUGUAACUCUUCGUUUAAUAGCUUCCUUGUGAGCAGCAACCCUCUAUCAAGGAAAUCAUGAUAGGGAAUACAAGCCUUGGAAUAUCGUAUCAAUUGAGAGAUAUUAUUCAGUGAAAGAACAUCGUCUAUAUAGCGGGAGGAGAGUUAAAGAAUAUUGAUAACUUCUUAUCUUUCUUCCUAAGAAGUUCCUGUAUCAAGUCAGCCUCAUAAUAAUAAAGAAACAAGUCGGCAAGUAGAGGGGCACAGUUUGUUCCGAUUGGAAUGCCGACAGUCUCUUGAAAAACACGUCCUCCGAACGUAACAAAUAUGUUGUCAAUCAAGAAAUCAAGCAUCUUGAUAAUAUCAGUUUCAGAGAAUUUUUUGUUUGAAUCAGAGUGAUCCUUUACAAAGUAGGAUUUAUCCCUCCCUAAGACAAGAUACUUGUAUCUACCAUGGCCAUUCCUUUUCAUGAAGCAAAGCAAUACCAACUCUUUCAAUUUGUCUCUUAGUUUGGAAUGUGGAAUACUUGUGUAAAGAGUAGAACAGUCAAAUGUUUUAAUAAUGUUGCAAGAUGAAAGAGAGUUAGAUUGUAUGUACUCUAAAAGAUCUUUCGAAUUUUUAAGUAUCCACAUCUGAUUCACGCCCCCUCUAGAAUAUGCAGUUUCACAAUAACUUUGAAGCCCGUCUUUGAUUGCUGAUAAAAUAGAUUCAAAUAAUUUUUAAAGAGGUUUCGAGGAGCACUUGGAAGACCCAGCAAUAUACCGUUGUUUGUAAGGACACUUAUGUAGUUUAGGUAUCCAAUACAGUGAUGGAAGAUCCAGUUCUUCAUCUUUGGUUGAAAUUCCAAAGGAAUUCCUCUUUGGUAAGUGUCGUGAGGGUAUAUGUUGAGUUUCCAAGAACGACAAGUAUGCGGUGAUUAGAAAGAUGAUUGUAGCCGCAGUGAAUUACUUAUUAUCGAGCACAAAUAUUUACAAAACUGGUAUUUGCUGUUAAUUCGCUAAGCAUGCUGCAUUAGAGUUAUUGACUCGGAGGUCAGAAGCUUUAGUAGGCCAACACGUCUUAUGUUAUGUAUGUGAUUUUCUUAACAUUAACCUGUAAAAAUAAUGAUCUUGAAUUUAAAUAAAACUUUAACUUUAAAUUAUAAUUAAAGGCCUUAGAGAUAUUUUGAACUAUAACCAAUAAAGUAUGCGAGCCAUUUCAGAAUAUAUUAGAGUAUUCAUGUAAGUACAUGCAAUCUAUUUUAGAAUUAUGGCCACCAAUUGGGGUAUUUGUGGUAUUUGUGAAAAUCUUCAGAUUACCAAACCUUCAGUAGUAUGGUGUUCCGAAUGUGACGAAGGACUAUGUGGAGAUUGUAAGAAACAUCACGCAGUUUCCAAGGCAUCAAAAAACCAUGAAACCGUUUCUAUCGCCAAAUACAAAAACUUACCCACCGAAGUCCUGCAAAUCUCUCAGACCUGCAAACUUCAUAAUGAAAAAUACGAGCUGUUUUGUGCAAAACACGAUUGUCCUUGCUGUAAGAAAUGUGUGAAAUCUCACAACGAUUGUAAAGGUUUAACUGACAUAAAUGAACUCAUAAAAAACGUAAAAACUUCAAACGCAUUUAAUGAAAUCGAACAAACCCUGCAGGAAGUCGUCGAGAAUAUUAAACGACUAAGCACAAAACAGGAAUGAAAAUUUAAAAUCUAUAGAAAACAAGAAAAGAGAAAUUGAAGCAGCAAUAAAACAAACCAGGAUAAACGUUAAUCGUCACCUUGAUAAACUUCAGGAUGACUUGAUUAAAGAACUAAUGACAGUUGAACAAAGAGAAAAAAGCAAAAUAGAAAAAUUGUUAACUUCUCUAAAAAAGAAGGAAAAAGAGAUCGCUGAAGUACAAGAAAACUUUGCCAGUAUUAAACAUCAUGCGUCAGAACUUCAAACAUUUUUAACAAUGAAAGAUAUCGAAAAAGAUAUUAUAGGCGAAGAAAAAUUUAUCAAAUCGAUUGCCACAAGUGACUCCACAAAUCAAGUCAAUAUUUCAUGUCAGAUAAACAAGUCUUUGCAAAAAAUCACAGAAAUUCUGCAGAAGUUUGGGGAAAUAUAUGUUUGUUCUGAUCCAUGUGAUGUUUCGAUUCACAAACGGAAGGACAGACAAGCCCAGAUUAUGGUCACUCUUCCAACCAGAGAUAUCGAUAACCUGACUCUGACAUUACAGAAACGUAUGAAGAUAAAGUUGACAGAUGUCUCUGGUUGUUCAUUGCUUCCUGGUGAUCGGAUGGUAUUCUCCUCUUAUUGGACAAUAAAUUAACAGUACUAAAGUCUGACGGAUCAAAAGAUUUUGAGAUAAAGAACAUUGGUCGAACGUUUGAUGUGGUAUUUAUUGGUGAUGAUUCUAUUGCUGUAACUUCCGGCAUUUCAAAUCAGAUUAAUAUAAUCGACUUAAAGAAGAAAUCAAAGACGAAAUCAAUAAAAGUUGAUUCAUAUAAUGGUGGAGUAGCAUACAAAGAUGGAUAUUUAAUAUAUUGUGCCACAGAGAAAGGAAUACAGAUGAUCAGUCUGAAUGACGAAACAAUUACCAAUGUUAACAAUACCAAACUUUCAGGUCUUGCGUACGUUACAACAUUCGGUGACAAAUUGUUCUACACAAAUUCCAAUGACAGCGUAACCUGCUGUGAUUACCAUGGU
rnacentral:lncRNA from 1 species